CAUUCAGUUUUUGUCCCCCCAUUAUCUCUAAUAUCACAUAUCUAUUUAUAAAUGCCUAAAAUUAGGCUAAAUUCAACAGCAAUUAUAGUUCUCUCAACAAAGAAAAUGGACAGAGCUUCAUUCAACUCAUUCAACUUGGCAGUCUUGAUAGCCCUAAUAGUUACCAUAUGAUGUUUUGUUGAUGGGAUUGAACCAAGAGAAAUGACAAUAAAGGCGAAGGUGGUGAGACAAGAAAUUUCAUUUAAAAGCAAUAAAAGAGCAAAAUUCAAUUGUUUUGUGGAUAGCUAUUGUAUUAAAAUAUGUCCCAUAAUUGUGACCGUAUCUACUGUAAAGAUAAUGUUCGCAUGUGCCAGAAAAUUCUUCAGAUAACGCUACCCUGUGAUCCUUUCUCGUAGAGAUUAAGAUCUGUAAUGGUAAUGAAGCUUUAUUUCCUUUGUUACAAAAA